rnacentral:lncRNA from 1 species
GGGUUUUGAGCUUGGAAUUCUUCAGGGGUAAAGUGUUUCGAGUUUGGAAUUCUUCUGGGGUAAAGGGUUUUGAGCUUGGAAUUCUUCAGGGGUAAAGGGUUUUGAGCUUGGAAUUCGUCAGGGGUAAAGUGUUUCGAGUUUGGAAUUCUUCUGGGGUAAAGGGUUUUGAGCUUGGAAUUCUUCAGGGGUAAAGGGUUUUUAGCUUGGAAUUCUUCAGGGAUAAAGGGUUUUGAGCUUGGAAUUUUGGAAUUCUUUGAACAGGGGUAAAAGGUUUUGAGCUUGGAAUUCUUCAGG